AGGACGAACGCUGGCGGCGUGCCUAACACAUGCAAGUCGAGCGGGGUUGAGGCGAGAGGUAACUCGAGCUUCUACCUAGCGGCGGACGGGUGAGUAACGCGUGGGCAACCUGCCUCAAGGUUUGGGAUAACAGCCCGAAAGGGCUGCUAAUACCGGAUAUGCCUAUGGCCUCGCAUGGGGCUAUGAGCAAAGGGGAAACCCGCCUUGAGAUGGGCCCGCGUCCCAUCAGCUAGUUGGUGAGGUAACAGCUCACCAAGGCGACGACGGGUAGCCGGCCUGAGAGGGUGACCGGCCACACUGGGACUGAGACACGGCCCAGACUCCUACGGGGGGCAGCAGUGGGGGAUCUUGCACAAUGGGCGAAAGCCUGAUGCAGCGACGCCGCGUGAGCGAAGAAGGCCUUCGGGCUGUAAAGCUCUGUCUGGAGGGACGAACAAAAUGACGGUACCUCCGGAGGAAGCCACGGCUAACUACGUG
rnacentral:rRNA from 1 species